rnacentral:rRNA from 1 species
UACAGGGGGUGCAAACGUUGCUCGGAAUUAUUGGGCGUAAAGCGCGCGUAGGCGGCUACUUAAGUCGGAUGUGAAAGCCCCUGGCUCAACUGGGGAAGUGCACCCGAAACUGAGUAGCUAGAGUGCGAAAGAGGGUCGCGGAAUUCCCGGUGUAGAGGUGAAAUUCGUAGAUAUCGGGAGGAACACCGGUGGCGAAGGCGGCGACCUGGGUCGACACUGACGCUGAGGCGCGAAAGCGUGGGGAGCAACAGG